rnacentral:rRNA from 1 species
UACGUAGGCAGCGAGCGUUGUUCGGAGUUACUGGGCGUAAAGGGUGUGUAGGCGGUUAUUUAAGUUUGGUGUGAAAUCGUCCCGCUCAAACCGGGAGGGUACGCCGAAUACUGAAUGACUUGGAGUGCGGGAGAGGUGAGUGGAAUUCCUGGUGAGCGGUGAAAUGCGUAGAUAUCAGGAGGAACACCGGUGGUGUAGACGGCUCACUGGACCGUAACUGACGCUGGAGACACGAAAGCGUGGGUAGCAAACAGG